rnacentral:rRNA from 1 species
UGGGGAAUUUUGCACAAUGGGGGAAACCCUGAUGCAGCGACGCCGCGUGAUUUAGAAGGCCUUCGGGUUGUAAAAAUCUUUUCUAUGGGAAGAAAAUGACAGUACCAUAGGAAUAAGGACCGGCUAAUUACGUGCCAGCAGCCGCGGUAAUACGUAAGGUCCGAGCGUUGUCCGGAAUCAUUGGGCGUAAAGGGUACGUAGGCGGGUAAGCAAGUUAGAAGUGAAAUCCUAUAGCUCAACUAUAGUAAGCUUUUAAAACUGCUCAUCUUGAGGUAUGGAAGGGAAAGUGGAAUUCCUAGUGUAGCGGUGAAAUGCGCAGAUAUUAGGAGGAAAACCGGUGGCGAAGGCGACUUUCUGGCCAUAACCUGACGCUGAGGUACGAAAGCGUGGGUAGCAAACAGG